rnacentral:rRNA from 1 species
CCUACGGGAGGCAGCAGUGGGGAAUAUUGCACAAUGGGGGAAACCCUGAUGCAGCGACGCCGCGUGAGUGAAGAAGUAUCUCGGUAUGUAAAACUCUAUCAGCAGGGAAGCAAAUGACGGUACCUGACUCAGAAGCCCCGUCUAACUACGUGCCCGCAGCCGCGGUAAUACGUAGGGGGCAAGCGUGAUCCGGAUUUACUGGGUGUAAAGGGAGCGUAGACGGGGCUGCAAGUCCGGAGUGAAAGCCCAGGGCUUAACCAUGGUACUGCUCUGGAAACUGGGGGGCUUGAGUGCGAGAGGGGCAGGCGGAAUUCCUGGUGUAGCGGUGAAAUGCGUAGAUAUUAGGAAGAACCCCGGCGGCGAAGGCGGCCUGCUGGACCGUAACUGACGUUGAGGCUCGAAAGCGUGGGGAGCGAACAGGAUUAGAUACCCCUGUAGUC